rnacentral:rRNA from 1 species
CCCCAGACUCCUACGGGAGGCAGCCGUGAGGAAUAUUGGUCAAUGGGCUUACGCCUGAACCAGCCCCUUCUCGUGAGGGCAGCCUGCCCUAUGGGUUUUCAACCUCUUUUUUCCGGGAGCAACGCCGGCUACGUGUCUCUUUACUGAGAUUCCCUUAAGAAAACGCCUCUGCUAACUCCUUUCCAGCAGCCUCUUUACUACGGAGUCUGCUCGCGUUAUCCGGAUUUAUUGGGUUUAAAGGGUGCGCAGGCGGAUGGUUAAGUCAGCGGUGAAAUCGUGGGGCGCAACCCCAUCCAGCCGUUGAAACUGGGGAUCUAGAGUGUGCGAGAGGGAUGCGGAAUGCGUGGUGUAGCGGUGAAAUGCAUAGAUAGCACGAAGAACUCCGAUUGCGAAGGCAGCGUACCGGCGCCCAACUGACGCUGAAGCACGAAGGCGUGGGUAGCGAACAGGAUUAGAUACCCGAGUAAA